CAGAAUCUUCUUUCCCUCUCCCUGCUCCCAUCCAGCAGGUCUUUGACUUCCAAGCUGGGCCAAGGGAUGAGCUGCUGGGAGAUACGACCCUCAGUCCAGAGAGUCAAGGCACCAUGGAAACACCGUGGGAAGGCUGGAGAACUCUGCUUCUGGACGUGUUCAUUCAGGCCCAUCCUUGUCUCCACCUCACUUACUCUCUUCACUUCUGGCAGGGCUGAAUGCCCUCAUUUUACCCAACACCAGGAAUCUCCAAGGAACCCCAGAAAGUUGCAGGACCCUGGACUCCUUUCUUGUAGCUAGGGGUCAGGUCAGGCACAUGCACAUCAGCUGCCGGGGAGGAAGUGGGGUGCAGGGAUGCAGACCGGGCUGCAAAAUAGCCUCUCAACAUCCCAGCCUCUCUGCAGGAGAGAUGCUGCCCGUGGCCACUCCAGAGUUGGUGGACCUCAUUCAUGUCUCCAGGAGAGAUAAACGACUUUAACAAAACCCAGCAAUAUUAGCAAAGCCUGUGGCCAGAACAUUUCAGUGAGUAAUUUUAAUGCCCAGGUGUGUAGCAUGGCACAGAAAAACAUCUUUGAGGAUGGAUUAACAACACAUUUUGCCAUCCCCUGAGAGAUUUUACCCUGAACGCACACAUCUCUAAGAGAUGGUGUGGUCCCUAUCAUUAGAUUGUUAUGAAGAAUGCUUUAGGAAGUCUCUCCCAGGUGCCAAGGCUCCUCUGGGAAAAGGUUCAAAGGGUGGUGGGCCAGUCCUCUGGGCACAUGCAUUCCUGGUGCAGACCACCAGAAUUGUGCCAGUAGUAGCUAAGGGUGUUAGCAAGUCCUGGUGCAUGCCACGGUGCAGGCCCAGGCAGCCAGCCUGUGCUCUUCAUUCUGGGACAGUGCUGUCCUGGACUGUCCUUUAUGACCACCCCCAGCCUUGGUUCUGCAGUGGGGCAUGGUUGUGUGCUGGUGGCAACAAGGACACGCCCUGACCCUCUGCUCCCUCUCUUGUUCUCCUUUUGUUUUAACAUUUUCCUCAGAUUAUAGAAUUACCACAUGCCAACUAUUAUGAGCUGAAUUGGGCCUUCCCACCCACAAAUCCAUGUGUUAAAGCCCUAACCCCUAGCACCUCAGAAUGUGACUGUAUUUGGAGAUAGGAUCUUUAAAGAAGUAAAUAAGUUAAAUGAGAUCAUUAGGGUGGGCUCUCAUCAAAUUUGACUGAUGUCCUUCUAAGAAGAUGGGGACACAGACACACACAGGGGGAAGACCACGUGAAGACACAGGGCAUCUGCAAGCCAAGGAGAGAGAGAGGCCUCAGGACUCUGCCAGCACCUUGAGCUCAGUCUUCCAGCCUCCACAACUGUGAGAGAAUAAAUUUUCAUUGUUUCAGCCCCCAGUCUGUGGUAUUUUGUUAUGGUAGCCCUAGCAAACUAAUACACCUUCCACAGAAAAUUGAGGAGAUAUACACAAAUUUAGAUUGUGAAAAUAAUGACUAUUUUUCUAAAUCUCUCUACCCAGAGAAAAUUUCAGUUACUAUUUCAGUCAUUUUUCUUACAGUUUAAAAAUCCAUAUUAUAUAGAGAGACAAAUUGACAGUGGUGGUAGUUAGAGAUUACAUUCUGUAUCCAACUUGCCUUCUGAAUUGACAUUGCAUGAAUGAGUACCGCCUUAUGUCAAUAGGUUCGGGCCAUAAUUUAAUCAUUGGUAAUAUUGGGGGUCAUGCUUUAUUCUAGACAGACAGAC
rnacentral:lncRNA from 10 species